UACAGAGGCCCCAAGCGUUACUGAGAAUCACUGGGUUUAAAGGGUGCGUAGGUGGUCCGUUAAGUUCGUUGUGAAAGCCCUGGGCUCAACCCAGGAACUGCUUCGAAUACUGGCGGACUUGAGGCUAGUAUGGGUCACUGGAACUGACGGUGGAGCGGUGAAAUGCGUAGAUAUCAGGAGGAACACCAGCGGCGAAGGCGGCGCUCUGGGCCGGAACUGACGCUGAGGAGCGAAAGCGUGGGUAGCAAACAGGAUUAGAA
rnacentral:rRNA from 1 species